rnacentral:rRNA from 1 species
UAUGUGAUCGUCUCUCGCAUAUCAAUAAGCGGAGGAAAAGAAACUAACAAGGAUUCCCCUAGUAACGGCGAGUGAAGCGGGAAGAGCUCAAAUUUGAAAUCUUAAAGGGUUUCCCUUUACGAAUUGUAGUUUAAAGAAGUGUUUUCUGUUGAGGUUUUGGUAAAAGUUCUUUGGAAUAGGACAUCAUAGAGGGUGAGAAUCCCGUAUUUGACCUUUACUUUCAACUUUGUGAUACACUUUCAAAGAGUCGGAUUGUUUGGGAAUGCAGUCCAAAAUGGGUGGUAAAUUUCAUCUAAAGCUAAAUAUUGGCGAGAGACCGAUAGCGAACAAGUACCGUGAGGGAAAGAUGAAAAGAACUUUGAAAAGAGAGUUAAACAGUACGUGAAAUUGUCAAAAGGGAAGCGUUUGACACCAGUGUUGUUUUUCUGAAAAUCAAUUAAAGAACUGUUUAUGCUAAGCUUGUUUAGACUUUAUCAGCUAAUCUGUUUAGUUUUGAGCUUUUCUUUAAUGCACUUUUCAGUUAACAAGUCAACAUCAAUUUCUUUUGCUGUAAAAAAGCUUGAGGAAGGUGGCUUGAGAUUCGUCUUAAGUGUUUAUAGCCUCUUGCCUAAUGCAGUCGGAGAGAUUGAGGUCUGCAGCGUAGAUCCUUCGGGGCUAAAUGCAUUUGUGCUAAGUUAUAGCAUUUUAUAGACAACUUGUUGACUAUGAUUUGUCUUGUAGCUUACUCGCUUAUGUUAUUUUACCUACGCUUAGGAUGUUGAAGACUCUACAGAGAUA